rnacentral:rRNA from 1 species
UACGAAGGGAGCUAGCGUUGUUCGGAAUCACUGGGCGUAAAGCGCACGUAGGCGGAUGUGUCAGUCAGGGGUGAAAUCCCGGGGCUCAACCUCGGAACUGCCUUUGAUACAGCACGUCUUGAGUCCGAUAGAGGUGGGUGGAAUUCCUAGUGUAGAGGUGAAAUUCGUAGAUAUUAGGAAGAACACCGGUGGCGAAGGCGGCUCUCUGGACCGAGACUGACGCUGAGGCGCGAAAGCGUGGGGAGCAAACAGG